GCUUCUGUGGCUCAGUCGGUAGAGCGAGUGAUUCGUAAUCACUAGGUCGGCGGUUCGAUUCCGCCCAGAAGCUCCA
rnacentral:tRNA from 1 species